AAACCGACGACCUAUUUAUGCAAGAUUCCACUUCAUGGAUGGUCAGUUCCAUUCUCUAGAAUUUGAUGCUUCAGCCACAGCACAUGAUGUAGUUGAACUAAUCAGGCACAAAAUUGGCCUGAAAAAUACAGCAAAAGGCUAUGCCAUCUAUGAAAUGUUGGGCACGACAGAGAGAUGUAUAUUGGCAGAGAGGUUUUAGCUGAUGUAAUGUCUCGGUGGGAACGAUACAGACAGUCCACCACUGCCAAUCAACAACACCCAUCAGCAUCAUCAUCACCAUAUUUUCCUUUUCAAGAAACAUUUGUUGUUAGAAUCAUGGAUGGAUCUAAGUGAUAAUGUCGAAAAAGAACUCUUGUACUUCCAAGUUCUUUACACUUUGCGUGUCUGAUAAGUUCCCCGUGACUCAGAUGGA